ACUCUCGUGGCGUAGGGGUAACGCGCCCUAUCUAGAGAACUGGGAGUCGUGAGUUCGAUUCUCACCGAGAAGA
rfam:Aedes aegypti strain Liverpool supercont1.429 genomic scaffold, whole genome shotgun sequence.